rnacentral:snRNA from 1 species
GUGCUUGCUGUGGCAGCACAUAUACUAAAAUUGGAAGAUUAGCAUGGCCCCUACACAAAGAUGACACACAAAUUCGCAAUGCAUUCAAUAUUUUU